AACGAACGCUGGCGGCAUGCCUAACACAUGCAAGUCGAACGAGACCUUCGGGUCUAGUGGCGCACGGGUGUGUAACGCGUGGGAACCUGACCUUAUGUUCGGACUAACUCCCCGAAAGGGGUGCUAAUACCGGAUAAUGUCUACGGCCCAAAGAUUUAUCGACUUUGGAUGGACACUAGUUGGAUUAGCUAGUUGGUAGGGUAAAAGCCUAAUCAGGCGACGAUCCAUACCUGGUCUGAGUGGAUGAUCAGCCACACUGGGACUGAGACACGGCCCAGACUCCUACGGGAGGCAGCAGUGGGGAAUAGUGGACAAUGGGCGAAAGCCUGAUCCAGCAAUGCCGCGUGAGUGAUGAAGGCCUUAGGGUUGUAAAGCUCUUUUACACGGGAGGAUAAUGACAGUACCGGGAGAAUAAGCUCCGGCUAACUCCGUG
rnacentral:rRNA from 1 species